rnacentral:lncRNA from 1 species
UAAAGAUUGAGAUAAAUGUCUUAUAUUCCAUAUAUUUACUCUAACAAGAAAGACCUAAAUGCAACAGUAAAUGGAUAACGGGCUAGAUUGCUAAAACUGAGUGGAUGUACAAUACAAACCAGUGACACAAUAUACAACAAACGUUGAAAACUGCACAAUAACAUAGAAGACUUUAAUCACAAGCCUUUCUUGUUAAACGAUUCAGCCAGGAUGUUCACAAAUAAAAACUAGAACAAAUAUAUCGUAAAGGUUCUAGCAACCAUAACAUAUAUUACGACGAAUUCAAUAACAAUCGUUUGUACAAUGACCAAUUUUGACAAGAUUACCCAUACAUCAAAUAAACAGUUCAAGUCAAACCCUUUCCUUUCCUAUCGCACUUCGCAAUGCCCUUUCCGUUGCUAAAACUCAAGUGCAUUGAUAUGUCCACGCCUUAUUUCUCACUACUUCGAGCUAGCCUAUCAAAGAGUCUUGGCAAAUCUUCAUCUUCCACAUUGUACUCAUGAUUCACCUUUUCGUUAACGGAACUUGACUCCCCGCUUAGCACUUCUUUUUUCACCCAAUCGAAAUAUCCACAAUCAUUACUACAGUUGAAAAACAAUUGCCCUCUGUUACUAGUAUCCCAUUCGACCUCAAAACACCUGCUAUAUCUGUGUUUACACGAAGGGUAUCGGCACUUUGUUGGGCAUUGUCCAAAGUAAUGCGUGUUGCUUCUGCAACCGUGACAAACUCCUGAAUUCCUUCCUCUCAUUGUAGUCGAUCCGGGCUGGACAAACAAAUAAACAAAGAUGUAUCCAUCUCAAUUGCAAAAUUCCACAUCAACAACCUAAACCUCAUUAUACAUGUGAAAAACUUCAACAACCUAAGCUUGUUAACAAAUGAAUUGAUUCUAUGUGGAAAUUUGUAACCACAAAAUCAUAUCAUUCAACACUGCCGACACUAAAUAAAAAAAAAAAAAAAAAAAAAAAAAAGGGUAAAUCCAGAAACAAAACUUUAGAAGACGGCUUCGCUGAAAAAAUCAAUAGUUUAGAAGAAGACACUGAAAAAUAUAGCUAAAUUACGAACGAAACUAUUUACAUUCUCAACCUGAUGGAGUGUGGCAGGGGAAGGAUGCGAGUGCAGCGUCGGGGUAUCUUGGUGAAUGCGGCAUCAGAUUUUCUGCUCGUAGGCAGCUUGUUGGCGCCAAUGGUGAAGAAGGUGCUCACAUCGAUGGUGACGGUGAUAGGGAGUACAGGAAGAUUGGUUUGGGGAAGAUAUUUCGUGCGUGAAUUGGGGGAAAAUGGAAGACUUUGGAUUUUGGGAAAUGGAAAUACAAUUUCAAAUUGAUUAUUUUUGUUUUUUUUAAUAUGCCACAUCAUCAUUAUUUGAAACCUUGUACCCCUUCUGUAACAAGUUUCCUAUACCCUAGCGUUUUUGUUAGAGUUAUAGGAGAAGGGAAAGGAGAUAGAAGAAGAGAAAGGGGCGUGGGGAGGGGGUAGA